AAGGACAGAGUCUAAGAAGAUCAGAGAAGAGGAAGGACAGAGUCUAAGAAGAUCAGGGAAGAUCAGAGAAGAGGAAGGACAGAGUCUAAGAAAAUCAGAGAAGAUCAGACAAGAGGAAGGACAGAGUCCAAGAAAAUCAGAGAAGAUCAGAGAAGAGGAAGGACAGAGUCUAAGAAGAUCAGAGAAGAUCAGAGAAGAGGAAGGACAGAGUCUAAGAAAAUCAGAGAAGAGCUUAAAGGAAAAACGGAAUGUUGUCUAAUACUGAUCUGAUCUUCAUUCUCUCCACCACCUCAUCCUCUCUCUCUCUCUCUGUCUCUCUCUCUCUCAGGUCUCAUUCCCUCUUUCUCCCAUUCCCUCUCUCUCUCUCUCUCUCAGGUCUCAUUCCCUCUUUCUCUCAUUCCCUCUCUCUCUCUCAGGUCUCAUUCGCUCUUUCUCUCAUUCCCUCUCUCUCUCAGGUCUCAUUCCCUCUCUCUCAGGUCUCAUUCCCUCUCUCUCUCUCAGGACUCAUUCCCUCUUUCUCUCAUUCCCUCUCUCUCUCUCAGGUCUCAUUCCCUCUUUCUCUCAUUCCCUCUCUCUCUCUCAGGUCUCAUUCCCUCUUUCUCUCAUUCCCUCUCUCUCUCUCAGGACUCAUUCUCUCUCUCUCUCAGGUCUCAUUCUCUCUCUCUCUCAGGUCUCAUUCCCUCUCUCUCUCUCUCUCUCUCUCAGGUCUCAUUCCCUCUCUCUCUCUCUCAGGUCUCAUUCCCUCUGUCAGGUCUCAUUCCCUCUCUCUCUCUCUCUCUCUCUCUCUCUCUCAGGUUUCAUUCCCUCUUUCUCUCAUUCCCUCUCUCUCUCUCAGGUCUCAUUCUCUCUCUCUCUCAGGUCUCAUUCUCUCUCUCUCAGGUCUCAUUCCGUCUCUCUCUCUCUCAGGUCUCAUUCCCUCUCUCUCUCUCUCUCUCUCUCUCUCAGGUCUCAUUCCCUCUGUCAGGUCUCAUUCCCUCUCUCUCUCUCUCAGGUCUCAUUCCCUCUCUCUCUCUCUCUCUCUCUCUCUCAGGUCUCAUUCCCCUCUCUCUCUCAGGUCUCAUUCCCCCUCUCUCUCUCUCUCUCUCAGGUCUCAUUCCCUCUCUCUCUCUCUCUCUCUCUCUCUCUC
ensembl:lncRNA